GCUACCAUGCAGUCGAACGGUAACAGGAAGCAGCUUGCUGCUUCGCUGACGAGUGGCGGACGGGUGAGUAAUGUCUGGGAAACUGCCUGAUGGAGGGGGAUAACUACUGGAAACGGUAGCUAAUACCGCAUAAUGUCGCAAGACCAAAGAGGGGGACCUUCGGGCCUCUUGCCAUCGGAUGUGCCCAGAUGGGAUUAGCUUGUUGGUGGGGUAACGGCUCACCAAGGCGACGAUCCCUAGCUGGUCUGAGAGGAUGACCAGCCACACUGGAACUGAGACACGGUCCAGACUCCUACGGGAGGCAGCAGUGGGGAAUAUUGCACAAUGGGCGCAAGCCUGAUGCAGCCAUGCCGCGUGUAUGAAGAAGGCCUUCGGGUUGUAAAGUACUUUCAGCGGGGAGGAAGGGAGUAAAGUUAAUACCUUUGCUCAUUGACGUUACCCGCAGAAGAAGCACCGGCUAACUCCGUGCCAGCAGCCGCGGUAAUACGGAGGGUGCAAGCGUUAAUCGGAAUUACUGGGCGUAAAGCGCACGCAGGCGGUUUGUUAAGUCAGAUGUGAAAUCCCCGGGCUCAACCUGGGAACUGCAUCUGAUACUGGCAAGCUUGAGUCUCGUAGAGGGGGGUAGAAUUCCAGGUGUAGCGGUGAAAUGCGUAGAGAUCUGGAGGAAUACCGGUGGCGAAGGCGGCCCCCUGGACGAAGACUGACGCUCAGGUGCGAAAGCGUGGGGGGCAAACAGGAUUAGAUACCCUGGUAGUCCACGCCGUAAACGAUGUCGACUUGGAGGUUGUGCCCUUGAGGCGUGGCUUCCGGAGCUAACGCGUUA
rnacentral:rRNA from 1 species